UGGAUCACUUGAGGCCAAGAGUGCAAGGCUGUAGUGUGCACAGCCUUGAAUUCUUGGCCUCAAGUGAUCCC
ensembl:miRNA